GCCAUAGGUCCUGAGUUCUGUCCCUGGAGUGCGGACAGCCCAUGUGGGGAAGCCGUGCCACAUACUCACCGCCCCAGCGCCUGGAGUCAGGUGGAUCUGUGACGGUUUCAGCCUCCGUUCUUUAAGAAAAAGCAACCAUUCCGCCUUUGAGACUCUGACCAGAUCGGCGUUCCUCAAGCAUCUCUUUAUCGAAUUCCUGAGGUGGGGAAGAGGCUGAGGUAUCCAGGUGCUGUGGCUUAAAAGACUCGUCCUUUCCUCAAACCCUUCUGGAAGGAAACCAUGUAUCACCUGAGCGUCUCGGCUGUGCUAAUCCCCCUCACUUCCAUACCCCGGUGGAUAUUGAUCCCGCCUUGGUGUUGAGUAAGAACUAGUUUGCUGCUGCGUGUUUCGGACUUACCCUGAAGUAACCCCCUGGAAGAAAGCAUUGGUGGGAUAUAAAUAAAUGCUCAAAUCAAAACAAAGCAACAACAUAUGGGGUGGGAGCUCCUUGCCAAGCAGAGAUUUCGGAGCGAUAUUCUUUGCAGCAAAUGCUGCUUCCUCUAACGGGGAUAUCAACGUGUUCCUUGGAUCUCUUUCUCAUCUCCCAGCCCUGCCUUACCUCUAGUGCUGGUAUGUCUGAUAAGGCCAGUUAUAGCAUCCUGCACCCCUUUCUUCCCCGUCCCCACUCAGAUCUUUGCACCCGCUGAAGCUGUGGUAGCUAGGGGAGAAUCCGGCCUGAAGGUUAGGGGAGAUCCAGGCCACGCUGGAGCAGGUCACCUUGGGAGCUAGUUGGUUCCCAGGAGAGGCGGCAGGUUUGGGGUGUGUCCGGUGAACCUGCUUGGCCUUCCGGUGCUGAGGCUGAGUGAAUGUUAAUGAAACGUUCCCCGUAACUCUGCCAUUCCUUCCUGGGGCCAGUACGUCUCUCCACAAAGGGUUAACGCCAGCCUAGACCGCUCUUUUCCCUGGCGUCCUGGGAAGUCUCAGUUCCCAGAGCCUGGUGACCUUGGAGAAAGGAAGGAAUUAACUCCCUGCCACCCACUGCUCUGUCCCCCGCACAGCCCUUGCUCCCUCCCCUGUCUCAUUUCAGCCUCUGCCUCCUUGAGCCUUUGUGUGCCCGGAUUCUUUCACUGGCCGCAGCGACUCUUCCAAGGAGGAGCCGUGGCAGCUGGAGUGAAGGACUCUGGGGUUCAGGGGGAUCCCCAAUGCUUCCUGGGGGUGGGGCUAGCUGGGCAGAAACUCCACAGGCAGAGGGCAGGGCCCUGGUGAGGGGCUGAGGUAGGAGUGUCAGCACUCAUACAGCCUACGCUCACGUCUUCCUUUGCCUGCAGAGGACGUAUCCCUUGAACUCUGCCUUGGCCCUGCACUGGGUAGGGGAUGAUUUACAACCCCUCUGCUCCCUUCUCCUCUUUCCCACUGGAGCCCAGCUCAGAGGAGAGGGUGGUAAACAGCCCUGAUUUACAGCAGGCCUGCUCCGGUGACAGCUUCCCUGUGCAAAGGGUGCAAAUCACCCACUGCAGGGCGGGGCCAGGCCGGGCUGGGCAGCCCAGGAGAAGUCCGCAGCGGUGGGAGGGAUACACAGACACUGCUGACGCUGUCCCCCAAGAGGCCGAACCCCCUGUGAAAGCGUCGGCCUGGCUCUGGACGCUGCCCUGCACAGAGCGACGUGGGCUGGCCUGAGUGGAAACGGGGUUCCUCCACACGUCCCUGGGAAAGGAGGCGGGAUCCCAGCAGCGGCCGCGGCUGUCAGGGGCCUCAUAAAGAUAAGCUGUGGAGUCGAUCGCCAGGAAAAGUUGGCCUCGGGUUGAAGCGAUUAUGGCUGCUCAUAAAACCAUCCUUCAUCCUCAGCUGCUUUGCCUGUGGCCCUCGGGGAGGGGUCCCCUUUGCUGGCUUGCCCUGGCUCCAGCAGCAUGCCAGCUGGCUGCAGGCAGGGUUGGUUCAUGGCGGGAAGGAAGCGGCAGCGAGGAGGGGUGGGCAUGAGGCUGGGGUUCAAAGGAGGAAAACCAGGAGCUCCUCAUUACUCCAACAAGGGUAAAAAUGCCCCUCACCAGCCGCCUGCCUCCCCACACAGCCUGCGGCCCUGACACAGCUCUGCACUGGGGCCCCGGGAAGCAUGAGCCAGAGGUCAGACAAGGGUUUGGGGACUGGGUGGUUGUGGCUGGAUCUGGCCCUUUUCUGAGGCCGACACCCGUGUGGUCCAGCAGCAGGGCCAGCCAGCUGCAAAGUCUGCUUAGCGCGGCACUUCUCAGCUUCACGCUGCGCUCUGCACGCUGAGUGAAGCCUCCCACCCAGCCCAGGGCCAUGUCAGCUUUACCCCACCGAGCAGCUGGGGGCACAGAGAGGAGCAGACCUGCCCACAGCCCCCCAGACAGGAAGUGGCAGAAGAGGAAUUAGACUGCGGCGUUCCUGGCUCCCACUCCUGUGCUCCGGCCACUAGCCCACACCCCUGCCAUGCUCAGGCCUAGGGAGCCCUGGAGCCACAGGAUGUGGGGCUGAUGUCAGCGACUCUUGCGGCAGCAGGGUGGGCGUGGUGACCGGCUGCCUCACAAACAACACACGCAGGGCCAAAUCCUGAGCUCCUUAGCCCGAGCCAAGGGGAGAGGGGAGCUGGCCUGUUCUGCUUUGCGUCUUCCCAACGUUUUACGUCCCUGCAGCAAUAACUGACUCGCCUCCCAGAUGUUAAAGGGACAGGAGCUCAGCUCUGCUGCCGCCCUCGUGCCCCGGGGCACCGUUCUUUAUUAGCGCCAUUGGGUUUGGGGGCCCAGGAGCUGUGGCCGGUUCCCUCUCUGCCCUGCAGGGAAAUGCAGGGACUCUGCCCGUCUCUGGACAGCAAGAGCCGCGAAGACACCUCACCGUUGGGUCCCUCCUCUUCCCCCAGUGACCCUGCUCUGUCCCCAGCAGCGCAGCCUUGGAUUUCCAGGGCCUGAUUCUCCUCCCACUCAUGCCAGUUUUGCUGCUGGGUCACCCCAGUGGCUUUGAUGGAGAUAUUCCUGACCUGCACCCCGAAGGCAGGAGCAGAACCAGUGCCCUGGCCUCUACCCAGACCCCAGGCCAGGGGUGGGAGCGUGGCAGAGGCCUGCUUGGGUCUAAUUUUCAAGCCUGAGGGAGACGAAAAUCCGACCCAAGCCUUUUUCAGACCCACCCCGUGUCAGUGCCACCACCUUGUUCUUGGGGCUCGGCCGGGCAAGGGCUUCCCGCUCCCCAUGCCCGUGACCUGUCUCCAGCUGCCUCCUGCCCACGGGGUCGCGCUGAUGGCGCCGUGCCCCCUGCUUGGUGCAUAUGCGGUGGAGCAAGAGGUGCUGUGGCUCCUCAACACGCUUCCUCCGCUGCGUGCCCAGGCCGGCAGGAGCAGGGCACACAGCCGCCGCGGUGCCAACCCCCUGGGCAGGAGGAGGGGCGCCGCGCCGCGCCUGAGAGGGUCGGAUAGUUUUCCAGGGCAUUCAGGGAGCAGCACGAAGCCCUGCUAAGGACGGCUGGCCCUGAGCGCCAGUCGUGGGCGGCCGUGGGAGCCUUUGAUGGGGUGGUGAGACUCAGGCUCUGCAUUUGGGACAGGUGGUGUUAUAC